rnacentral:rRNA from 1 species
UACGGAGGGGGCUAGCGUUGUCCGAAGUUACUGGGCGUAAAGCGCAUGUAGGCGGCAGCGCAAGUCGGGCGUGAAAUCCCACGGCUCAACCGUGGAAGUGCACUCGAAACUGCGCAGCUAGAGUCCUGGAGAGGAAGGUGGAAUGCUUGGUGUAGAGGUGAAAUUCGUAGAUAUCAAGCGGAACACCGGUGGCGAAGGCGGCCUUCUGGACAGUGACUGACGCUGAGACGCGAAAGCGUGGGGAGCAAACAGG